UGAACUUCAAGAUGGGUGACUAAAGACGUUUUUAUUAGAAUCCGACAAAGGGUUACAAGAUUGAUGGGAAAUAAGGAGACAAGAUUUGAGGUCUAAGCAACAAGAUCAGAAUGAUCGUUUAGAAACCCUAGAUCUAGCCGCUUAGUGUGUAGGUUGUCCAAAAGUCCACUGCUCGUUGCCUCCUCCUCCACUCUUAUAGCGCCUCUGUUCGUGAUGCCCUAAUCGCACUUAUCCUAUGGGCCCUGUCACCAAAGGCCGAGUAUGCGGGCCUUGGUAUUAUUUCGUCUAAGCCGAGUACGACUGAUCAUCUUAGCCGAUUGGCUUAAAGUACUCUAGGGUCGAGCCGACGUCUUUAGCCGCUAAGCCGACUAAACUCAACCAAAAUUGUCGGGCUACGGCCUGUUAUUUGAUGGGCCUUGUGGAGGAAUGCAGUCCAUCUCCUACACUCCUCC
rnacentral:lncRNA from 1 species